GGGCGGGGGACAGACUUUUUAGGGAGAAGUGGGAUAGGCUUCGGGUCUCUGUCCUGGAUUACCGUCCCUCGCCCGGCCAGGGGUGAGAGUCCGGCCUCCGGCCACACCGACCUGCGACGAGAACAUGAUAACCGAAUCCACAACAAACGACAUGGCCCCAGCCCGGCUCCCGCUACGUCAUCAACACGCGACCACACGCUGACGUCAUGUAGCGCGACGGAGGGUAAAGAAACCAUAGCAACCGGGGGAGGGGCCUGAGUGACAGAAGAUGGAGAAAGCUCAGAAUAUCUCAGGAGGAAAUAGACUUGGCUGCUGAAAACAAUGAGAUGAAAACCCUUGAGUUUUCUGUGACUAAACUGUGGAUAUUAAUAUUUCUUUUACAGUGGGUCACUGGGUUCAAUUGGUGAACAUUUUCUACAGUUGCCCAAAAGGUUGCUAGUCAUGCCUCUUCUCACAUCUCUAUCUCUAGCAACUUUUCUAUGCUGCCAUCAUAUCAUGAAGGGGCAAGUAGAAGAAGCAGCCCCCAAAAACUACCUUAGCCAGUACGGGAACUGAACCCACAUCAUCCGUGCCAUCAAGCACCACAACCUAACCAUCUAAGCUGACCGGCCUUACUAAUCUUUCUUUCCCUCCCGUUAUUUUGCUUUCU